ACCCGCUCUACCACCUGAGCCACAGCUACCAGUCUUGAUACCAACUAUUGAUAGUUAGAGUAUCUAUUGAUAGUUGAUAUUGAUAAUUAACUAUUGAUAGUCAGAAGAAAUCCCAAACACCACUGAAAGUAAGAGAAGGGGAACCUGGAGCCCAUCCCAGGGAGCAUCGGGCACAAGGCGGGGUACACCUUGGACAGGGUACCAAUCAAUCGCAGGAUGUCUUUGGAGUGUAGGAGGAAAGCGGAGUACCCGGAGGAAACCCCCACAGCACAAGGAGAACAUGUAAACACAGGGCAGCAGCUUGAAUUGAACCCCCAAGCCUGGAGGUGCUAAGCCAUUGUACGCCCUCAGAUAUUAUGAAAAUUCUUAUCUGAAACUGAAACUCUGGACACAGUGGGCAAUACAAAAAAUGUAACUGACAAAUUGACAAACUAUAAGCCCAAGGCCAUUGUAAAAGAGCCCAAUUGCUGGGGAUAACACCUUAUAUGGCAAAAGUGAAAAUUAUUUAUGAUUAAAAGGAAUAUUUUAAAUAAAUUCAACAAAAUCAUAAAAAA